rnacentral:rRNA from 1 species
GGCUAACUGCAGUCGAGCGACUGAUUAGAAGCUUGCUUCUAUGACGUUAGCGGCGGACGGGUGAGUAACACGUGGGCAACCUGCCUGUAAGACUGGGAUAACUUCGGGAAACCGAAGCUAAUACCGGAUAGGAUCUUCUCCUUCAUGGGAGAUGAUUGAAAGAUGGUUUCGGCUAUCACUUACAGAUGGGCCCGCGGUGCAUUAGCUAGUUGGUGAGGUAACGGCUCACCAAGGCCACGAUGCAUAGCCGACCUGAGAGGGUGAUCGGCCACACUGGGACUGAGACACGGCCCAGACUCCUACGGGAGGCAGCAGUAGGGAAUCUUCCGCAAUGGACGAAAGUCUGACGGAGCAACGCCGCGUGAGUGAUGAAGGCUUUCGGGUCGUAAAACUCUGUUGUUAGGGAAGAACAAGUACNAGAGUAACUGCUUGUACCUUGACGGUACCUAACCAGAAAGCCACGGCUAACUACNUGCCANCAGCCGCGGUAAUACGUANGUGGCAAGCGUUAUCCNNAAUUAUUGGGCGUACAGCNCGCNCANGCGGUUUCUUANNUCUGAUGUGAAANCCNACGGCCNCAACNGUUGGANGNUCNUUGGAAAACUGGNGAACUUGANUGC